ensembl:lncRNA
AUGUCACCCUCGCGUCCUGCCACCCCCUGUCCCCGCCGCACUCGGCCCCCAUGUCCUCCUCCCGGGUUCCCUGCCUUCAAGGCGCGGGAGAGGGGGAGCCGACCUCGAAAAGAGCGGCGGGGCGGCGGGCUGCGCCGCUGUCUGUGGGGUGCCAGGCUCGCGUGUCCGGGGCCCCCGCCCGUGAUGUCAUCCCCGAAGGGCCCGUGCGUCCCGGGCCGCUACAGAGCUCCCCAAGUCGCGGGGGCCGCUUCCUGCCCGGCCUCGGGGCCUGCGCACAGGCCCCGGCGCCGCUGCCCGGGUGGGGACACCGCAGAGAGCCCGCGCACCCCAUCUCGCCACACACGGCCUUCGCCGCCCCUGCGGGCCCUGACUCCUACGCGACGGCCACGCCGGGCCCGGGUCACGCAUGGGGAAGUCAGCUCCCCGCCCCCCACCUCGGACGCACUCACAAAGCUCCCCUCCGCCCCCGGCGCCGCGCGAAUGUUCCCCACGUCGCCACCCCACGCUCCGCAAACACUCCGCGCCUCGGCGCACGCAGAGCCCUUGCCACACUCGCCCCUCGCGCCAUGCCCCAACCCGACCUCAGCCGGCCGCACAUUCCCCAGAAGACCCUCAGCCACGGCGCAGGGCGCCCCCACCCUGCAGCUCCCCAGACGUCCAUCCGGUGACCUCGCGCACCCCCCACACCACACAAAGCAAGGACCCCGCGGACCCCACAUCUCCACCCAGCGCGCGCUCUCGGUCCCCGAACCUGCCUCGGCUCCUCACCCGGCCCAGGAUCCCGACGCCUCGCGCCGCCCCCACCCCGGGGCAGCGUCCACUGAGCCCCCCGCGCCCCGGCGCUCGCUGCUCACCUCGGCGCCCGCGCUCACUCGGGGGCCCUGGGUCUGGCGCUGCGACUUCGCGGCCCGGAGGCCUGGGUGGCCAUGGGGGUCGGGGCGCGGCGGCCCCGCCGGCCCGCGGCCAGGCAGGAAGGAGGGUGGGCCGCGGCGCCCCCUCCUCGCGCCGGCGCUCGGGCCGCGGGCUGGGCGGCCUGCUCGGCUCGCCUCUCGCCUUCGCCGCACUCGCUCUCCCACUAGUCUCUCGGAGCCCAGCCGCGGGCGGGGGCGGCGCCCGGGGGCGCGGGGAGCGGGCGGCACGGGGACCGGGCCCUGGCCGCGCACCCGGCCGGGCCUGCCUGGUGUCCGCGGGUGCCGCGGGGAAAUGCGAUCCCCUCCGCACAGGAAGAGCGGACGGGCGGGCGGGCGACGCGCGGGGGGAGAAGGAGAGCGAGAGCGCGAGGAAAAAAGUUCCCGGGCGGCCUGGCUGCGCUCGCUCGCGGCCCCGGGCGCCAGGUGGGCCGUGCGCGCCCCGACAGCACCCCCUGGCGGUCCGCGCGCCCCACUGCGCGCCCCCCGCCCGCCCUCCCGCCGGCCUGCGGGAGGGGCCCUCUGCGGUGGGAUCCCGGUGAGGCCCGGGAGGACUCUAGCGCCCUGCGUUCUGGAGCUUCCAGCGUCAGGCCAGGCCCCCACCCUCACUCCUUUAGCCCUCACCUGUGCCCACUUCUUUACAGUUUGA